rfam:Martelella endophytica strain YC6887, complete genome.
UCCCGGAUUUCCAUCCCCGGGGUACUAAAGAGGCACAUACCAUCAUUGCCGGAAGUGCGGCGGGUUACCCCACCAAUCCAUGGCAGACAAAGCCGGAUCAACCUUGUUCUCAGGGCUGGUUCAUUCUUGAGCGUUCGCCGCUAUCGUUCCCC